GAUGAACGCUGGCGGCGUGCCUAAUACAUGCAAGUCGAGCGAACAGACGAGGAGCUUGCUCCUCUGACGUUAGCGGCGGACGGGUGAGUAACACGUGGAUAACCUACCUAUAAGACUGGGAUAACUUCGGGAAACCGGAGCUAAUACCGGAUAAUAUAUUUAACUGCAUGGUUCAAUAGUGAAAGACGGUUUUGCUGUCACUUAUAGAUGGAUCCGCGCCGCAUUAGCUAGUUGGUAAGGUAACGGCUUACCAAGGCAACGAUGCGUAGCCGACCUGAGAGGGUGAUCGGCCACACUGGAACUGAGACACGGUCCAGACUCCUACGGGAGGCAGCAGUAGGGAAUAUUCCGCAAUGGGCGAAAGCCUGACGGAGCAACGCCGCGUGGAUGAUGAAGGUCUUCGGAUCGUAAAACUCUGUUAUUAGGGAAGAACAAAUGUGUAAGUAACUAUGCACGUCUUGACGGUACCUAAUCAGAAAGCCACGGCUAACUACGUG
rnacentral:rRNA from 1 species